AUUGAACGCUGGCGGCAUGCUUUACACAUGCAAGUCGAGCGGCAGCGCGGGGGCAACCCUGGCGGCGAGCGGCGGACGGGUGAGUAAUGCAUCGGAACGUAUCCCGUAGUGGGGGACAACCCAGCGAAAGCUGGGCUAAUACCGCAUAUGCUCUACGGAGGAAAGUGGGGGACCCGCAAGGGCCUCACGCUAUGGGAGCGGCCGAUGUCCGAUUAGCUAGUUGGUGGGGUAAAGGCCUACCAAGGCGACGAUCGGUAGCUGGUCUGAGAGGAUGAUCAGCCACACUGGGACUGAGACACGGCCCAGACUCCUACGGGAGGCAGCAGUGGGGAAUUUUGGACAAUGGGGGCACCCUGAUCCAGCCAUGCCGCGUGCGGGAAGAAGGCCU
rnacentral:rRNA from 1 species